AUGGGGUGGCCGACGUGUGCCCAGGCAAUAUGGGCGGCGGCCGCGAUGGUGGCGAUGCUUGCCGCGGCGGUAGGGGAAUCCGACGCGGGCGAGCUAGAGCGCGCGUUUCCGAUCGUGGAGCCGGAUUACGGCCACACUAAGCUCCGUCUUUCGAAGCAAGGCCUGGAGGCAAUCCAAAGGAUCAACACCCCGAUAGCUGCUGUCUCUGUCAUUGGUCCAUAUCGAUCUGGAAAGUCUUUCCUUCUCAACCAGCUUCUCUCCUUGUCAUGCGACAAAGGUUUUGGAGUUGGACACAUGCGAGAUACCAAAACCAAAGGUAUAUGGAUUUGGGGUACUCCCGUUGAGGUCUAUGUUGAUGGCUCCAAGGUGUCUGUCCUUUACCUGGACACUGAAGGAUUCGAGAGCAUUGGAAAAUCCAAUGUAUAUGAUGACAGGAUAUUUGCUCUGGCAGCUGUCCUGAGUUCUCUUCUUGUCUACAAUCUCCCUGAGACGAUUCGUGAAGCUGAUAUAUCCAGACUCUCAUUCGCUGUUGAACUUGCUGAAGAAUUCUACGGAAGGUUUGGGCCAAGAUGUUGCUUUUGA
rnacentral:rRNA from 1 species